rnacentral:rRNA from 1 species
UGAGGAAUAUUGGGCAAUGCCCGCAAGGGUGACCCAGCAACGCCGCGUGGAGGAUGAAUGUCGUAAGAUUGUAAACUCCUGUUAGAGGGGAAGAAUAGUACCGGUUGGACCGGUAUAUGACUGUACCCUCAGAGAAAGCACCGGCUAACUCCGUGCCAGCAGCCGCGGUAAUACGGAGGGUGCGAGCGUUAUCCGGAUUUAUUGGGUUUAAAGGGUCCGUAGGCGGGCCUGUAAGUCAGUGGUGAAAUCUCAUAGCUUAACUAUGAAACUGCCAUUGAUACUGCAGGCCUUGAGUAAAUUUGAAGUGGCUGGAAUAAGUAGUGUAGCGGUGAAAUGCAUAGAUAUUACUUAGAACACCGAUUGCGAAGGCAGGUCACUAAGAUUUAACUGAUGCUGAUGGACGAAAGCGUGGGGAGCGAACA